GACGAAAGACGAAAAGUAGUUGUAUUGUAUGUAAGCCGCAUUAUAAACGUUGGCAGUUAUACAAAAUACAAUAAAAAUCCAUAUACAUACAUAUAAACGCUAAACAAAAUUAAAUCAUAUAAACGCAUUCGCAUAGGUAAAAAAAAACGAAAAAAAAAAAAUCAUCCAUUAAAUAAAAUGAAAUCAACUAAGCUAAGCUAAACCUAAACUUGUUCUCGUUCAAUCGUUAUAAUCAAGCUCCUAUUAUAAAAUCUUCUACUCCACUAAUUUUUACAAAAGUAUUCCUUUCUAUAUAAUUCUUAAGUUAGUAUUGGUGAGGUGACAAAGGCCAGCCCAAAGAAAGGAAAGGUUGCUUUUACCAAAAUCAAAGUAGCAGAAUUCCUUGAAAUACAGGAAUUCGAUACACGUAUAUGAUUUAACAACACUAGGCAAAGAGCACGCAAAAUUAUACAUUUCCACCUAUGCAUAUUACUAAAUACUAAACCUAUUAUAACUUAUUGAAUCGUAAAAUAAUAAAUAAAUCAAAUGUGAAAAAGAGAAAUGUUAAUAUGAA